UACGGAGGGUGCAAGCGUUAAUCGGAAUUACUGGGCGUAAAGCGUGCGCAGGCGGUUCGGAAAGAAAGAUGUGAAAUCCCAGGGCUUAACCUUGGAACUGCAUUUUUAACUGCCGGGCUAGAGUAUGUCAGAGGGGGGUAGAAUUCCACGUGUAGCAGUGAAAUGCGUAGAGAUGUGGAGGAAUACCGAUGGCGAAGGCAGCCCCCUGGAAUAAUACUGACGCUCAUGCACGAAAGCGUGGGGAGCAAACAGG
rnacentral:rRNA from 1 species